rnacentral:rRNA from 1 species
CGUAGGUGAACCUGCGGAAGGAUCAUUACAUUUUUUGAAGGAUCUGUGCUGCGAAGCACGAUCUCUCACAUAUACACACUUUGUCUAGACAUAGAUUAUUUGCUUAGGUGGGCGUAUCCGUCCGCCUUUGGCUUUAACCCUAUAAAACUUUAUAUGAAAAACAUAAUCACAUUAACGAUAAUAAAUAUCAAAACUUUCAACAACGGAUCUCUUGGUUCUCGCAACGAUGAAGAACGCAGCGAAUUGCGAUAAGUAUUGUGAAUUGCAGAUUUUCGUGAAUCAUCGAAUCUUUGAACGCACAUUGCGCCCUGUGGUAUUCCACAGGGCAUGCCUGUUUGAGCGUCAUUUCUCCUUCAAACUUCUAGUUUGGAUUUGGGCUUGGGGAAGCUUUAUACCCAGCCUGAAAUAGUGGGCGUACUACUUUUGUCUUAGUUGUACACAAUGAGUUAGGUUCUGCCAGUUCGUUGGAUAUAACUAUUAAAGAAGCUGUACAAAUACCAGCCCAGCCCAUUUUAUACCCCCCCCCCCAAAUUUGACCCCAAAUCAGGAAGGACUACCCCCUGAACUUAACCAUAUCAUAAAGCGGAGAGAA